UGAAACAUUUGUGAAUAAAAUGGAACUUAACGAUAAAGCACCGGACUGCCCAGCUUUAUUCUCAUUAAAGAGGAAAGUAUUUAUGUAUCCAGUAAAGGUUUAAAAAUAACGAAGCAGCUAAGCAGCACCAACUUAAAGUUGGAGAAAUAAUGAAUCUGCAAAUCAUUAUUGAUUAAGCGGUGAAUUCCAGAUCCCUUAGCCUAAGAAAAGGUCUUGACCCUUACUUUUUUUUUUUUUUUUAAUUCUAUUUUGUCAAACGAAUUCAAUUCAAUCAGUAGUACUGAGCACUUAUCCGAUCCACGGUACUCUAGGAAGGUGGGAACAUACUCAGAUUCCGUCUGUGGCCUGCUUCCCAGGAACAUAGUUUGUCUAAGUGAUGUCAGGGCUUUCUUCCAAUCCAGCCCGACUUGCUCCUCAAGGCAGAAGUCUAGGUCAUUCACUUAUAGAGCAUUUUGUCCUAUGGCAGUGCGUGUACAUGUUUAGCCCCUAGCAGGAAUAUCUUGGUUCCAUCGGGGAAGCCGACUUCCUCCAGAGAGUGAAGAAGGAGGCGUAGUUUCCACGUACACAGGAUGGGUAGAGUCCUCAGCUCUAGGCCCCUGGACGCAGUUUUAAUCCGUUUCUUCAUCUACCGAAAUAAAAACUGAGACCCUAUUUGACAUAAAUCUUGAGAGGAUUAAGUGAGGUAACACUAGGUACAUGUACACGGUAUAUAAAUCCUGCCUCAUUUUCAUAGUAAAUGGCAGAUCGAUCAAUAUACAAUGAAGAGAGACGAGUUCGCAUUGAUUAAUCUACUUCUGAAAUCGUCUUAAUAAAGUUCAGCUGCAGGUAUAUGGGCUAGGAAAAAUACUUGGGCCAUAAGAUCAGAAUCCUUAGUGACAACUGCAUUCCUCGAAUUAACCCUAUACACGUUACUUUAAAGCGGGCAAGCGUAUAUUUACAAGGAAGAGCGUCUAAUUUUUCUCACGGGUUUUCUCUGUGUUUGCGAUAGGAACUUCUGCAAUAUAUCCUCUUGUGGCUUUGGCCGUGCUUAAUUCAGGGCUUAUGAUGAGCCAGGCACGGAGUCGUUUGUGGACCAUAUGAUCUUAUCUUCGUGGCAACUCCGUGCGUUGGUACCGUUCUUCGCAGAUGAACAAACUCUGAUGUAGGAAGACGAGGGACUCUGCCCCAAGUCAUAGAGCAGAGGCAAUCAUGGUGGCUCAGGGCACAGUCCCACAACGUCCAUGAGACCCAGACCCGAUCUCCCAUCACCCCCCCCCAGCGGUCCAGUUCUUCAGCGUUGCCUAAUAGUCUAGUCGGCCGGAAUCGGGGAAGCCUCGGGUCCAGAUGCUGCAGGAGAAUAAAGCGGGACCUGGUCUGCAGCCUGCUCAAGCGUGUGAGUCCUGUGGCUUCACCUUAUUUUGGCUUGCGUGUUUGUUUGUUUGUUUGUUUGUUUGUGGUGGAUCCUUUUCAAUCUGUUCGCAGAGAGCGUGCAAUGUCUGACACUGUUUUAUUUGCUCCUCCCGCGAGUGGCAGAGCAGAGUGUCCCAACAAUACUCAACGUAUUUCACGUCAGGGGCCUGUGGGUCAGCAAGGUUAUUAAUAAACAUAGCCUCUCGUUCUAAUUUA